rnacentral:rRNA from 1 species
UACGGAGGGUGCAAGCGUUGUUCGGAAUUACUGGGCGUAAAGCGCGUGUAGGCGGUUUCCUCAGUCUGGUGUGAAAGCCCGGGGCUCACCCCCGGAAGUGCAUCGGAUACUGGGAGACUAGAGUACCGGAGAGGAGGGUGGAAUUCCUGGUGUAGCGGUGAAAUGCGUAGAUAUGAGGAGGAACAGCAGUGGCGAAGGCGGCCCUCUGGACGGAUACUGACGCUGAGACGCGAAAGCGUGGGGAGCGAACGGG